rnacentral:rRNA from 1 species
GACGAACGCUGGCGGCGUGCUUAACACAUGCAAGUCGAACGGAAAGGCCCUGCUUUUGUGGGGUGCUCGAGUGGCGAACGGGUGAGUAACACGUGAGUAACCUGCCCUUGACUUUGGGAUAACUUCAGGAAACUGGGGCUAAUACCGGAUAGGAGCUCCUGCUGCAUGGUGGGGGUUGGAAAGUUUCGGCGGUUGGGGAUGGACUCGCGGCUUAUCAGCUUGUUGGUGGGGUAGUGGCUUACCAAGGCUUUGACGGGUAGCCGGCCUGAGAGGGUGACCGGCCACAUUGGGACUGAGAUACGGCCCAGACUCCUACGGGAGGCAGCGGUGGGGAAGAGUGCACAAUGGGCGGAAGCCUGAUGCAGCAACGCCGCGUGCGGGAUGACGGCCUUCGGGUUGUAAACCGCUUUCGCCUGUGACGAAGCGUGAGUGACGGUAAUGGGUAAAGAAGCACCGGCUAACUACGUG